UGAGCAACACGUGACUCGGGCUGUGUCUGAAAGACUCACCUUGGGACUCUGGCUUUCUCACAGGGAGGCUUAAGCCUGACAGACGCACCUCCUGCCAUCCUGCACUCCCACCCUGGUCGGCGAUGCCCUGAGGGAAGGGACCGUCGCUCUGCAUGUCUGUGCUUACUCACCCCACCCACACGUGGGGCCUGUGAUUCCCACGUCCCCCUGGAGGAAGCUGCCUCUUUGGAGAACUGGAUUCAGAGGACGUGAAAAUUAACCUGGUUUUGCCGUGUUCCUGGGCACCUGCCUCCAUGCACACCUGAGUUCAGGAGCCAUGUCCCUCCACUAGAGGGCGGGCAUCGUAGACGCCUGGUACGCCACCUGGGCUGUCGCGUGUGUUCCGGCCUCAGCCCUGGAGAAGGUAAGAGCUGGUGCCUGCAGGUCUUAAGUGCUCUGCCCGCUGUGUCGCAACCAUAAGCGAGCCGGGAAGGGAGCUUUCACUCAAGAGCCAGCUGCUGGCUGG
ensembl:lncRNA